rnacentral:rRNA from 1 species
GACGAACGCUGGCGGCGUGCUUAACACAUGCAAGUCGAGCGGAAAGGCCCUUCGUGGUACUCGAGCGGCGAACGGGUGAGUAACACGUGAGUAACCUGCCCCAGACUUUGGGAUAACCCUCGGAAACGGGGGCUAAUACCAGAUACGACACAGCUUCGCAUGAGGUCUGUGUUGAAAGUUUUUCGGUUUGGGAUGGGCUCGCGGCCUAUCAGCUUGUUGGUGUGGUGUUGGCAUCCCAAGGCGACGACGGCUAGCCGGCCUGAGAGGGGGACCGGCCACACUGGGACUGCGACACGGACCAGACUCCUACGGGAGGCAGCAGGGGGGAAUAUUGCACAAUGGGCGGAAGCCUGAUGCAGCGACGCCGCGUGAGGGAUGACGGCCUUCGGGUUGUAAACCUCUUUCAGCAGGGACGAAGCGUAAGUGACGGUACCUGCAGAAGAAGCGCCGGCCAACUACGUG